rnacentral:rRNA from 1 species
GCGUAAGCAAUCUGCCCCUAAGACGAGCAUAACAGUUGGAAACGACUGCUAAGAGUGGAUAGGAGAUAAGAAGGCAUCUUUUUAUUUUUAAAAGACCUAGCAAUAGGUAUGCUUAGGGAAGAGCUUGCGUCACAUUAGUUAGUUGGUGGGGUAAUGGCCUACCAAGACGAUGAUGUGUAGCCGGGCUGAGAGGUCGAACGGCCACAUUGGGACUGAGACACGGCCCAAACUCCUACGGGAGGCAGCAGUAAGGAAUUUUCGGCAAUGGAGGAAACUCUGACCGAGCAAUGCCGCGUGAACGAUGAAGUAUUUCGGUACGUAAAGUUCUUUUAUUAGGGAAGAAAAGAUGGUGGAAAAACCAUUAUGACGGUACCUAAUGAAUAAGCCCCGGCUAACUAUGUGCCAGCAGCCGCGGUAAUACAUAGGGGGCAAGCGUUAUCCGGAAUUAUUGGGCGUAAAGGGUGCGUAGGCGGUUAGAUAAGUUUAUGGUCUAAGUGCAACGCUCAACGUUGUGAUGCUAUAAAAACUGUUUAGCUAGAGUUGGAUAGAGGCAAUUGGAAUUCCGUGUGUAGUGGUAAAAUGCGUAAAUAUACGGAGGAACACCAGAAGCGAAGGCGGCUUGCUGGGUCUUAACUGACGCUGAGGCACGAAAGCGUGGGGAGCAAACAGGAUUAGAUACCCUGGUAGUCCACGCCCUAAACGAUGAGUACUAAACGUUGGAUAAAACCAGUGUUGAAGUUAACACAUUAAGUACUCCGCCUGAGUAGUACGUACGCAAGUAUGAAACUUAAAGGAAUUGACGGGACUCCGCACAAGCGGUGGAUCAUGUUGUUUAAUUCGAAGGUACCCGAAAAACCUCACCAGGUCUUGACAUGCUUUUGCAAAGCUGUAGAAAUACAGUGGAGGUUAUCAGAAGCACAGGUGGUGCAUGGUUGUCGUCAGCUCGUGUCGUGAGAUGUUGGGUUAAGUCCCGCAACGAGCGCAACCCUUGUUGUUAAUUGCCAUCAUUAAGUUGGGGACUUUAGCAAGACUGCCAAUGAUAAAUUGGAGGAAGGUGGGGACGACGUCAAAUCAUCAUGCCCCUUAUGACCUGGGCUACAAACGUGAUACAAUGGCUGUUACAAAGGGUAGCUAAAGCGUAAGCUUCUGGCGUAUCUCAAAAAAGCAGUCUCAGUUCGGAUUGAAGUCUGCAACUCGACUUCAUGAAGUUGGAAUCGCUAGUAAUCGCGAAUCAGCAUG